rnacentral:rRNA from 1 species
GAUGAACGCUGGCGGCGUGCCUAAUACAUGCAAGUCGAGCGAACAGACGAGGAGCUUGCUCCUCUGACGUUAGCGGCGGACGGGUGAGUAACACGUGGAUAACCUACCUAUAAGACUGGGAUAACUUCGGGAAACCGGAGCUAAUACCGGAUAAUAUAUUGAACCGCAUGGUUCAAUAGUGAAAGACGGUUUUGCUGUCACUUAUAGAUGGAUCCGCGCCGCAUUAGCUAGUUGGUAAGGUAACGGCUUACCAAGGCGACGAUGCGUAGCCGACCUGAGAGGGGGACCGGCCACACUGGAACUGAGACACCGUCCAGACCCCUACGGGAGGCAGCAGUAGGGAAUCCUCCCCAAUGGGCGAAAGCCUGACGGAGCCACGCCGCGUGAGUGAAUAAGGUCUUCGGAUCGUAAAACUCUUUUAUUAGGGAAGAACAAAUGUGUAAGUAACUAUGCACGUCUUGACGGUACCUAAUCAGAAAGCCACGGCUAACUACGUG